ACGCUCUUGUUUCUCUUCAGAUCGUAUAAAUCUUUCGCCUUUUACUAAAGAUUUCCGUGGAGAGAAACAUUAUGAGUAUCAAUUAAUUUUUGAUGCCCCGCCUUACGGUGGGGU